AGAGUUUGAUCAUGGCUCAGAUUGAACGCUGGCGGCAGGCCUAACACAUGCAAGUCGAACGGUAACAGGAAACAGCUUGCUGUUUCGCUGACGAGUGGCGGACGGGUGAGUAAUGUCUGGGAAACUGCCUGAUGGAGGGGGAUAACUACUGGAAACGGUAGCUAAUACCGCAUAAUGUCGCAAGACCAAAGAGGGGGACCUUAGGGCCUCUUGCCAUCGGAUGUGCCCAGAUGGGAUUAGCUAGUAGGUGGGGUAACGGCUCACCUAGGCGACGAUCCCUAGCUGGUCUGAGAGGAUGACCAGCCACACUGGAACUGAGACACGGUCCAGACUCCUACGGGAGGCAGCAGUGGGGAAUAUUGCACAAUGGGCGCAAGCCUGAUGCAGCCAUGCCGCGUGUAUGAAGAAGGCCUUCGGGUUGUAAAGUACUUUCAGCGGGGAGGAAGGGAGUAAAGUUAAUACCUUUGCUCAUUGACGUUACCCGCAGAAGAAGCACCGGCCAACUCCGUGCCAGCAGCCGCGGUAAUACGGAGGGUGCAAGCGUUAAUCGGAAUUACUGGGCGUAAAGCGCACGCAGGCGGUUUGUUAAGUCAGAUGUGAAAUCCCCGGGCUCAACCUGGGAACUGCAUCUGAUACUGGCAAGCUUGAGUCUCGUAGAGGGGGGUAGAAUUCCAGGUGUAGCGGUGAAAUGCGUAGAGAUCUGGAGGAAUACCGGUGGCGAAGGCGGCCCCCUGGACGAAGACUGACGCUCAGGUGCGAAAGCGUGGGGAGCAAACAGGAUUAGAUACCCUGGUAGUCCACGCCGUAAACGAUGUCGACUUGGAGGUUGUGCCCUUGAGGCGUGGCUUCCGGAGCUAACGCGUUAAGUCGACCGCCUGGGGAGUACGGCCGCAAGGUUAAAACUCAAAUGAAUUGACGGGGGCCCGCACAAGCGGUGGAGCAUGUGGUUUAAUUCGAUGCAACGCGAAGAACCUUACCUGGUCUUGACAUCCACGGAAGUUUUCAGAGAUGAGAAUGUGCCUUCGGGAACCGUGAGACAGGUGCUGCAUGGCUGUCGUCAGCUCGUGUUGUGAAAUGUUGGGUUAAGUCCCGCAACGAGCGCAACCCUUAUCCUUUGUUGCCAGCGGUCCGGCCGGGAACUCAAAGGAGACUGCCAGUGAUAAACUGGAGGAAGGUGGGGAUGACGUCAAGUCAUCAUGGCCCUUACGACCAGGGCUACACACGUGCUACAAUGGCGCAUACAAAGAGAAGCGACCUCGCGAGAGCAAGCGGACCUCAUAAAGUGCGUCGUAGUCCGGAUUGGAGUCUGCAACUCGACUCCAUGAAGUCGGAAUCGCUAGUAAUCGUGGAUCAGAAUGCCACGGUGAAUACGUUCCCGGGCCUUGUACACACCGCCCGUCACACCAUGGGAGUGGGUUGCAAAAGAAGUAGGUAGCUUAACCUUCGGGAGGGCGCUUACCACUUUGUGAUUCAUGACUGGGGUGAAGUCGUAACAAGGUAACCGUAGGGGAACCUGCGGUUG
rnacentral:rRNA from 1 species